rnacentral:lncRNA from 1 species
GAGAAUGCAUCCAUAUUUUUACAGACAAAAACAAAACAGAAAAUUUAGGGAUAUUUUAAGUUGUGUCAGCAGGUAGCAUGCAUGGGACUUGCAAUUGCAUCUUGCAACUGUGUAGCUGAGUUGUGAUUUGGUUGGGUUCAACAACCUUUUCAUUUUUAAUUUUUUUUUCUGGCUUAAACAAAAACACAAAACUAUGUUCUACUAUUUUCUUAUUUUUGGUACAUGCUCAAUUAUUUUCUUGGGCAUAUACAACUGUACCUACCUUGGUGUGGCCUCAAGUUCUCAAUGAUAUAGUUGUUAAUCGACACGUUUGGUUGUACAUUAAUGUCCAUUAAUAAUUUCAAUCAAAUUUAGUAAUUUGACGUACUCUUGUUCAACUGCCAAAUAUUAAUUUUUUGAAAUAUUUGUUGAGAUCUUGUAGUAAAU